CGGGGCCCCGCACAAGCGGCGGAGCAUGCGGAUUAAUUCGAUGCAACGCGUAGAACCUUACCUGGGUUUGACAUGGAUCGGGAGUGCUCAGAGAUGGGUGUGCCUCUUUUGGGGUCGGUUCACAGGUGGUGCAUGGCUGUCGUCAGCUCGUGUCGUGAGAUGUUGGGUUAAGUCCCGCAACGAGCGCAACCCUUGUUCACUGUUGCCAGCACGUUAUGGUGGGGACUCAGUGGAGACCGCCGGGGUCAACUCGGAGGAAGGUGGGGAUGACGUCAAGUCAUCAUGCCCCUUAUGUCCAGGGCUUCACGCAUGCUACAAUGGCUGGUACAGAGAGUGGCGAGCCUGUGAGGGUGAGCGAAUCUCGGAAAGCCGGUCUCAGUUCGGAUUGGGGUCUGCAACUCGACCUCAUGAAGUCGGAGUCGCUAGUAAUCGCAGAUCAGCAACGCUGCGGUGAAUACGUUCCCGGGGCUUGUACACACCGCCCGUCAAGUCAUGAAAGUUGGUAACACCCGAAGCCGGUGGCCUAACCGUUGUGGGGGAGCCGUCGAAGGUGGGACUGGUGAUUAGGACUAAGUCGUAACAAGGUAACC
rnacentral:rRNA from 1 species